rnacentral:rRNA from 1 species
UAGCUAUGCCACAUCCACACGGAAAUUNCAGCAGUAAUUAACAUUGAGCAUAAGCGCCNAGCUUAACUCAGUUNAAAGUAAAAAGAGCCNGGCAAAUCUGGUGCCAGCCGCCGCGGCUACACCACGUGGCUCAAACUGANUUUCCUGCGGCGUAAAGCGUGAUUNAAAGNUUCACUUACUCCUGCAAUUAAACUAGAACUAGGCCGUAGAACGCUUAUNUCUUCGGAAACCCAANNAACGAAAGUCAUUGCANACUCUUACAACUUGAAUUCACGACAGCUAGGNAAACAAACUGGGAUUAGAUACCCCAUUAUGCCUAGCCGUAAACUUUUAUUUACACCCUUCUNNNNNNCGCCAGGGAACUACGAGCAAAGCUUAAAACCCAAAGGACUUGACGGUGCCCCACAUCCACCUAGAGGAGCCUGUCCUAUAAUCGAUGACCCCCGCUUAACCUCACCAUUUUUAGCUUAUCAGCCUGUAUACCUCCGUCGUCAGCUUACCCCGUGAGCGCUAANCCAGUGAGCCCAACGCCCAACACCCAUUNCGCCAACAAGUCAGGUCAAGGUGCAGCAUAUAAAAUGGAAAGAGAUGGGCUACACUGUCUAUUUUAGACAACACGAAAGACUACUUAUGAAANCCUAGUCAGAAGGCGGAUUUAGAAGUAAAGAAAGAUCAUCGUGCUUUCUUUAACUCNGGUACUGGGGUGUGUACACAC